UUUCCGUAGGUGAACCUGCGGAAGGAUCAUUAUCGAAGCUUAGAGCGCGCUUUAUUGCGGCUCGACCCCUUCACAUCCAUUCACCCCUGUGCACCGUAAUUAUUUAUUGCUUUAAACCCUACUGGUUGAUGAAUGUAAAAGACCCUUAUAAUUGAAAUAAAACUUUCAACAACGGAUCUCUUGGCUCUCGCAUCGAUGAAGAACGCAGC
rnacentral:misc_RNA from 1 species